UCAGAGCUUGAAGCAUCCUGGUACAUGUCAGAAUGUACCGUUUAGGAGGAGAUUUCAUUCUGCUGAAUCCCUUGAAGCAGAUUUGACCAGAAAGGGCUGUGCCUUCAGUUUCAACUGCUCAUGGACAAGGCCCUCAUCAGUGCAGUCUGCCCUGGUAGGCAAUGUUGCUUGUGUCCCAAACGCAUAUGUAGCUGUGCUCCCUGGAGACCUGGGUCUAUGAUGACAAACCUAUGUCAUGAAGAGAGAUGGUGACAUACAAACCAUCCUCAAUAGAAUGUGCUGAGGCCCAGACUG